rnacentral:rRNA from 1 species
CGUCCGCCGGCGACCGGCGCACGGGUGAGUAACACGUAUGCAACCUGGCCGCCACAGGGGGAUAACCCGCGGAAACGCGGCCUAAUACCCCGUGACGCCACCGGAGGGCAUCCUCCGGUGGCCAAAGGAGCGAUCCGGUGGCGGAUGGGCAUGCGGCGCAUUAGCUAGACGGCGGGGUGACGGCCCACCGUGGCGACGAUGCGUAGGGGUUCUGAGAGGAAGGCCCCCCACACUGGGACUGAGACACGGCCCAGACUCCUACGGGAGGCAGCAG